GUCCAACUGAGCGGUGGUUUUCAGCCAGACAAGUGAUUAGUCGCUCAGUGUAAAGAGCACAGGACAUUACUAGGUUAUAAAAAGUGCUCUAAAUUGGACAGCCGUGAAAAUUCACCCGAUUUAUUUGGCUCUUGGGGUUGUAUUGACAAUGGCGUGUUCAUAUUAAUUUGAGAAGAGUUAAGACAGCAGGCAAUUACCAGGAACAUGAACUCGAAGGAAAAAUGAAUCAAAGAAAAUACGACAGGAAAAGAGAAGCGAGUGAUGAAAAAUAAAAUUAUUAGAAGCAACGCAUUUACAUCACGCAAGGCUUUGUAUUUUGCCCGAUUUUCAAAGGACACUGGUUUUUUUUUGUCAAAUUGAAAUGGCAUUUUUAAUAAAAGCUUUCUUGCCCAUUU